rnacentral:rRNA from 1 species
GAUGAACGCUAGCUACAGGCUUAACACAUGCAAGUCGAGGGGCAGCAUGGUCUUAGCUUGCUAAGGCCGAUGGCGACCGGCGCACGGGUGAGUAACACGUAUCCAACCUGCCGUCUACUCUUGGACAGCCUUCUGAAAGGAAGAUUAAUACAAGAUGGCAUCAUGAGUCCGCAUGUUCACAUGAUUAAAGGUAUUCCGGUAGACGAUGGGGAUGCGUUCCAUUAGAUAGGAGGCGGGGUAACGGCCCACCUAGUCUUCGGUGGAGAGGGGUUCUGAGAGGAAGGUCCCCCACAUUGGAACUGAGACACGGUCCAAACUCCUACGGGAGGCAGCAGUGAGGAAGAUUGGUCAAGGGGCGAGAGCCUGAACCAGCCAAGUAGCGUGAAGGAGGACUGCCCUAUGGGUUGUAAACUUCUUUUAUAAAGGAAUAAAAUCGGGUAUGGAUACCCGUUUGCAUGUACUUUAUGAAUAAGGAUCGGCUAACUCCGUG